rnacentral:rRNA from 1 species
GGCGUGCUUAACACAUGCAAGUCGAACGGAAAGGCCCCUUCGGGGGUACUCGAGUGGCGAACGGGUGAGUAACACGUGGGUGAUCUGCCCUGCACUCUGGGAUAAGCCUGGGAAACUGGGUCUAAUACCGGAUACACCCUUCUGGUCGCAUGGCCUGGGAGGGGAAAGCUUUUGCGGUGUGGGAUGGGCCCGCGGCCUAUCAGCUUGUUGGUGGGGUGAUGGCCUACCAAGGCGACGACGGGUAGCCGGCCUGAGAGGGUGUCCGGCCACACUGGGACUGAGAUACGGCCCAGACUCCUACGGGAGGCAGCAGUGGGGAAUAUUGCACAAUGGGCGCAAGCCUGAUGCAGCGACGCCGCGUGGGGGAUGACGGCCUUCGGGUUGUAAACCUCUUUCAGCAUCGACGAAGCGCAAGUGACGGUAGAUGCAGAAGAAGCACCGGCCAACUACGUGCCAGCAGCCGCGGUAAUACGUAGGGUGCGAGCGUUGUCCGGAAUUACUGGGCGUAAAGAGCUCGUAGGUGGUUUGUCGCGUUGUUCGUGAAAACUCACAGCUUAACUGUGGGCGUGCGGGCGAUACGGGCAGACUAGAGUACUGCAGGGGAGACUGGAAUUCCUGGUGUAGCGGUGGAAUGCGCAGAUAUCAGGAGGAACACCGGUGGCGAAGGCGGGUCUCUGGGCAGUAACUGACGCUGAGGAGCGAAAGCGUGGGGAGCGAACAGGAUUAGAUACCCUGGUAGUCCACGCCGUAAACGGUGGGUACUAGGUGUGGGUUUCCUUCCUUGGGAUCCGUGCCGUAGCUAACGCAUUAAGUACCCCGCCUGGGGAGUACGGCCGCAAGGCUAAAACUCAAAGGAAUUGACGGGGGCCCGCACAAGCGGCGGAGCAUGUGGAUUAAUUCGAUGCAACGCGAAGAACCUUACCUGGGUUUGACAUGCACAGGACGCCGGCAGAGAUGUCGGUUCCCUUGUGGCCUGUGUGCAGGUGGUGCAUGGCUGUCGUCAGCUCGUGUCGUGAGAUGUUGGGUUAAGUCCCGCAACGAGCGCAACCCUUGUCUCAUGUUGCCAGCACGUAAUGGUGGGGACUCGUGAGAGACUGCCGGGGUCAACUCGGAGGAAGGUGGGGAUGACGUCAAGUCAUCAUGCCCCUUAUGUCCAGGGCUUCACACAUGCUACAAUGGCCGGUACAAAGGGCUGCGAUGCCGUGAGGUGGAGCGAAUCCUUUCAAAGCCGGUCUCAGUUCGGAUCGGGGUCUGCAACUCGACCCCGUGAAGUCGGAGUCGCUAGUAAUCGCAGAUCAGCAACGCUGCGGUGAAUACGUUCCCGGGCCUUGUACACACCGCCCGUCACGUCAUGAAAGUCGGUAACACCCGAAGCCAGUGGCCUAACCCCUUGUGGGAGGGAGCUGUCGAAGGUGGGAUCGGCGAUUGGGACGAAGUCGUAACAAGGUA